AUGGGUAACAUGUCAUUGGGAGCACUAUAUUCUAGUUCAAACAAUAUAUCCGGUAGAAUACCUCAAUUGCCCAGAAACAUAGGGACAUUGGGCAUAUCAAGAAACUCUUUAUCAGGACCACUGCCAUCAGAUUUUGGGGCUCCAAACCUAGUUACGAUAAGUCUAUUUUCCAAUUACAUCACAGGUCAAAUUCCACUGUCGGUAUGUGAAUUGAGCUUGUAUUCCUUGGAUUUGGCCAAUAAUCUUCUUGAAGGAGAACUUCCUCAAUGCUUCAGCACAAAAUUCCUGGGGUUUCUAUUGUUAAGUAACAAUAAAUUCUCGGGCAAGUUUCCACCAUUUCUGGAAAACUGUACAAUGCUGUCUUUUUUUGAUCUGGCACGGAACAGGUUCUCUGGAACAUUGCCAAUGUGGAUUGGGAACUUGGGGGAACUACAAUUUCUACGGCUGAGCAACAACAUGUUCCAUGGGCAUAUUCCGAAUACUAUCACAAGUCUCAGGAAACUUUAUCAUUUGAAUCUGGCGGCCAAUGGGAUAUCAGGUUCCAUACCUCACCAUCUAUCAAAUCUAAUAGCGAUGACAACGCCAUAUGUAGAGGUUCCUGGCACGGUCGUUGCAGGGUUCCAAGAUAUAGUCGGUGAUAUGCCAGUAAUCUUCAAGAGGCGAGAACUUAAAUACAAAGGUGUUGGUGUUUUGGAGAUAUCGAGCAUUGACUUCUCAUGCAAUCGUUUAACUGGUAAAAUUCCAGAGGAAAUAACAACUCUUGGUGGAUUGAUUAAUCUGAACUUGUCUUGGAAUCAAUUGAAUGGAGGAUUACCUAACAAGGUUGGGGGCAUGCAGGCGUUGGAGUCACUUGACUUCUCGAACAAUGAUAUUUUAGGAGGAAUCCCGUCAAGCUGGUCAAAUCUAACGUACUUGAGCAUUCUCGACCUGUCAUAUAAUCAUCCAGCAGGAAUAAUACCAUCAGGAGGUCAACUUGACACUCUUUACACGGAGAACCCAUCCAUAUACAAUGGCAACAUUGGCCUUUGUGGGCCUAUCCUUCAUAAAAGCUGCUCUGUCAACAAUAAUGCAUCACAUCCUGACCAUCAACAGAGAAGUCAAAAAGUUUCGGAGUCGACGUUGUUCUUUUACUUUGGACUUGGGUCAGGGUUUGUGGCUGGCCUCUGGGUUGUGUUCUGUGCUCUGCUCUUCAAGAAAGCAUGGAGGAUUGCUUAUUUCCGCUUCUUUGAUAAGGUUUAUGACAAAGCUUAUGUGUUUAUAGUUGUCACUUGGGGCAGGUUAGCCAGGAAAAGGUAA
rnacentral:rRNA from 1 species